rnacentral:lncRNA from 1 species
UGAAAUGGCUAUAGGAAUGCAGGUUAGUCCACCAAGGAUGAGUUCAUUUUCUAAUUAUUCUUCCGAUGAUUCGCCUCGCAAUUCUGAUCAUGGUGGAGAUAAUCUUUGGAGUUACCAUUUUUGAUGAAUACAGCUAGACUAAUUAAUAGUAAUUCAUUUUUCGAUUUGUUUUUGAAUUUGGAUUUAUGUGUGUACGGAACAUCUUGAUUUACCCUUUUUUUUUCUUUCUAGCUAACAAGCUAGGUAUGGACUUUUGAUUGAUUGUGUUUGCUUUGUUGUUAAUUUGCUGUAGCUGAUCUUGGAUUCAUGUGUAUAUAUAAGGUUGGAUUAGGUCAUUUCCAUUUCAUCAUAUUCAUCACUCAUACCACAGAUUUUUAAUAUUUUAGGGAAUAAUGAUCUGAAUCUGAUACAAUUCCGUACAAUUUAUCAGUUUGGGGGGUUAAUAACCUAGCUAGCUAGAUAUCUAUAUUUGAUUUGAGUGUGAAAAGAUUCAACUUAUGAUUCUGGAUCUUCUUUUUUGUUACAUUCUAUCAAUAUAUAUGAUUUCAUGAUUUGAUGAACUAUAUGUGUAUGGGGUAUUGGGGUUUGCCCUUUUUCUAUUAUGUUUUCCCAUUUCUGUUGAUUAAAUUACAUUUGCAAGUUUAUUAAUCUGAAUUUCAUAUCAUAGUUGUGUUAAUUUGUUGGAGUUUCUGGAUAUUUCAUAUGUUUAAGCUAGUUCUACAUUAUAUGUAGAAUCUUAUAUCUCUUCUUGUGCUACCUGAAGCAAAAAAUUACGGUCUACAAACAAUGUUUCUGCAUAUGAUCAUACUUAACUUUCUUCAUCAUCUCAUAUUAUACAACUCAUUAGGACAUUUAAAUUUCAUUUGAUUAACCACAUAUAUGGAGCAGCAUUCAAAAACUUAGUUAGGACUUAGGACUCACUAGUACUAUUGCAUGUCUCUUUGGAUCUAUAAUUGAAUUAGAAGAGUUAUAAUGACAUAUAGUCCUCUUUUUUAUUCAUCAGUUUCACAUAAUUGGCAUUAAAAUCAACAAGUUUAAAACCUCUUUCAGUUCUGUGUUGGUGGAACAAGACAUUAAUUUAUGAACCAUACCAUCAUCACAUUCAUAGCACAGUACCUAUAGCGCUUUGCUAUAUUUCUGGCAUGUAGCAGAUUUCUGCUUUUGAUACUUAUGUAGGAUUCUUCCUUUGCUAUAUACAAACUUAGAUCACGGAAUAAUGGUUUCUGUUAGUAAAUAUGAGAAGUUAGGGGUGAUAUGAAUAGCUCAACUGGUUGAACUAAGGGUUAAGAGACUUGGUGUCCAGAGUUCAAGUCCCGACAAGUCAAGGUGUAAAAAAAAAACUAACAUAACAAUUAAUAUACUAACCAAUUUGUUAUUCACAAAAACAAAAAUAUAGUGUGAGAAGUUAGUAGUAUAAUGUUUAGUAGCAUGGGAUAAGUGGCAAUAUUUUGCCUUGCCCAGUAUAUGACCGAACGAAGCUCUGAUACCAUUGUGAUUGUGAGCAUUAUCACUAUUGUAAUGUAUAUUGCGGUUGUUGCAGCAUGAAUUUGUUAUUUAUUAGCAUGAAAUAUUAUAAUUUAUUACUAAUUAUCUAUGGUGCACAAAUGAGAUAAUUCUUGCAUCAUAUGUAAAUCAAAUCAAUUACCACCAUUUGCUCCAAUGAGAUAAGUUGUGGGAUUUAUUGGUAUCCAAUGAUGAAAAACACAUUUGUGUGUAAGACUAUAUUUACUUGUACAAAUUAGACAAAGUCGCUCUCUAAAUUUAUAAGGAGAAUGUUAACUUGUGCCCUUAAGGCACAUGUUAAGGAAGCAAAAAUAGAAAUUAUUAAAUGCUAAUUUGUGCAUUUUGACUUUUGAAGCAUUAAAUUUCUUAUAUCAUUAAAUGAUAAAUUUCUAUUUUGGUAUAUCUUAACAUGUGCCCUAAGGGCACAUGUUAACAAAACCCAAUUUAUAAUAUGGAGACAAAGUAAGAUAUAAAAUUAAUGUUGUGCAAUAACUACAUAGUCCAUUGUGUUGCUAUGCGGCUGUUGCGACAUUGCAAUUGUAGCACAAUACAAUUUGCACACACAGCCGCAACCGCAAUAUUAUCAUGUGAUGCAGUCUGCAAUUUAAAACAAUAAAAGAGAUAUAUAUUAUAGACUUCAUGCAAGAGGUCAUUGAGAAUUAUGAUUAUAAAGAUUUAUAAUAGAGUUUACAUAUAACUUACAAGUGGAAAUUCUGAACCUGAAUCAAAGUCCUAGCAAAAGAAUGAGGUAACUAAGAUUCAAUUAUCCUGGUCAGGAAGUAGGUUAUAUUUGUUUCCAGCAAUAAAUGAUAUUUGUGAGUGCAUCAAAACUUUUACCAAUGAAACAGACAAUUAUUGCAUAAGUUCUUUGACGCAUUAUAUGACAGCAGUUACUGCUUUUCUUUUCCUUAUCGUGUGAGACCACUAGCAAGAAUUUCUAGGAGUACUACACCAAAAUUACACAUAAACUUGUGGAAAAUAAAACAUAUAGCUAUAUAUGGAUCAACAUAUAUAAGAACACUCUCUAUAGCUAUGUGUAGUAGUUCACUGCAUUUUACUACCUUUUGGAUUGGAUGUGCCGACAGGAUGCAAAGUUUGUGCCGAAGGUUAUGAUAGUAUGUUGAUUUGUUGAUCAUACCAAGGCGCC